rnacentral:rRNA from 1 species
CCUACGGGAGGCAGCAGUGGGGAAUAUUGGACAAUGGGGGAAACCCUGAUCCAGCGACGCCGCGUGAGUGAAGAAGUAUUUCGGUACGUAAAGCUCUAGCAGAAGGAAAGAAAAUGACGGUACCUGACUAAGAAGCCCCGGCUAACUACGUGCCAGCAGCCGCGGUAAUACGUAGGGGGCAAGCGUUAUCCGGAUUUACUGGGUGUAAAGGGAGCGUAGACGGCAGCGCAAGUCUGGAGUGAAAUGCCGGGGCGCAACCCCGGAACUGCUCUGGAAACUGUGAAGCUGGAGUGCAGGAGAGGUAAGCGGAAUUCCUGGUGUAGCGGUGAAAUGCGUAGAUAUCAGGAGGAACACCGGCGGCGAAGGCGGCUUACUGGACUGUAACUGACGUUGAGGCUCGAAGGCGUGGGGAGCAAACAGGAUUAGAUACCCGGGUAGUC